AUACGGAGGGUGCAAGCGUUGUUCGGAAUCACUGGGCGUAAAGGGCGCGCAGGCGGUUUGAUUAGUCAGAUGUGAAAGUCCACGGCUUAACCGUGGAAGUGCAUUUGAAACUGUCAGACUUGAGUAUCAGAGGGGAAAGUGGAAUUCCCGGUGUAGAGGUGAAAUUCGUAGAUAUCGGGAGGAAUACCGGUGGCGAAGGCGACUUUCUGGCUGAAUACUGACGCUGAGGCGCGAAAGCGUGGGGAGCAAACAGGAUUAGAUACCCCAGUAGUCC
rnacentral:rRNA from 1 species